rnacentral:tRNA from 1 species
GGGUAUAGCUCAGUGGUAGAAUGUGUGCUUAGCAUGCACAAGGAUCUGGGCUCAGUCCCCAGUACCUCCA